rnacentral:rRNA from 1 species
GCAAUACACGAAAGUGUGACAAGGCUAUCCCGAGUGCCAUCCGCUGAGGAAGGCUUUUACCCAGUAUAAAUAGCUGGGAGAAUAAGGAGAGGGCAAGUCUGGUGUCAGCCGCCGCGGUAAUACCAGCUCUCCGAGUAGUGUGGAUGUUUAUUGGGCCUAAAGCAUCCGUAGCUUGCUAAGCAAGUCCUUUGUUAAAUCCACCGAUUCAAUCGGUGGAUUGCGGGGGAUACUGUUUGGCUAGGGGACGGGAGAGGCCGACGGUAUUUCCGGGGUAGGGGUGAAAUCCUAUAAUCCCGGGGGGACCACCAGUGGCGAAGGCUGUCGGCUAGAACGCGCCCGACGGUGAGGGAUGAAAGCUGGGGGAGCGAACCGGAUUAGAUACCCGGGUAGUCCCAGCUGUAAACGAUGCAGGCUAGGUGUUUGGGCGGCCACGAGCCACCCCAGUGCCGCAGGGAAGCCGUUAAGCAUGCCGCCUGGGAAGUACGAUCGCAAGGUUGAAACUUAA